UACGGGGGUGCGAGCGUUGUCCGGAAUCACUGGGCGUAAAGGGCGCGUAGGUGGCUUUGUAAGUUUGCGGUGAAAGCCCGGGGCUCAACCCCGGGUCUGCCGUGGAUACUGCAAGGCUUGAGUACUGUAGAGGCAGGUAGAAUAUCGGGUGUAGCGGUGGAAUGCGUAGAGAUCCGAUAGAAGACCGGUGGCGAAGGCGGCCUGCUGGGCAGUAACUGACACUGAGGCGCGACAGCGUGGGGAGCAAACAGG
rnacentral:rRNA from 1 species